GGCUGUUGCUGUACCAUAAAUUUGUGAGUAGUUUCUUGCCGCAAGAGAAAAAUAUAUGAACUGAAGGAAUCCUGGGGGAGAGCAGCCGGAGCUCCCAGCAAGACCUGUAGAAGGUUACAAAAGGUGAUGCUGACCCUCCUGCUCCUGACUCAGGGAGACUUCAAGCAGACGUAGGAGCCCACAUCACAUCUUCCUGCGGAGACCGAGGCAUGAUGUUGCCAGGAAGGACAACAGAAGAAUCCAUGAGUCCUUUUCAAACUUUACCAAUAGUUCUGACACCAUCUGAUUAUUGUAUGCAUUGUGUACUGUGGUGUAUUUAAAACUGUGUUACAAUUGUAAGCUGUCACUUCAAAUUUUAAUAUUUUUUUCCUGGUCCUGGUUUCAAGCUACGGGGCUCUGUAGGGAAGUGGGCAGUAGUCAGUUUGCAGCCAGCCAGCCAGUCUAGAGUAAAGUGGGGUGAGUUGUGCCUGGGGGAGCAACCUGCUUUUUCCUCUCUCUCUGUUUUUGUUCUUGUAUGUUAUCCUUCUGAAUAUGAAGAAAUAAAGUAGUUUUACAUA